rnacentral:rRNA from 1 species
GAUGAACGCUGGCGGCGUGCCUAAUACAUGCAAGUCGAGCGAACGGACGAGACGCUUGCUUCUCUGAUGUUAGCGGCGGACGGGUGAGUAACACGUGGAUAACCUCCCUAUAAGACUGGGAUCACUUCGGGAAACCGGAGCUUAUACCGGAUGAUCUUUUGAACCGCAUGGUUCAAAAGUGAAAGACGGUCUUGCUGUCACUUAUAGAUGGAUCCGCGCUGGAUUAGCUAGUUGGUAAGGUAACGGCUUACCAAGGCAACGAUGCAUAGCCGACCUGAGAGAGUGAUAGGCGACACUGGAACUGAGACACGGUCCAGACUCCUACGGGAGGCAGCAGUAGGGAAUGUGCCGCAGUGGGCGAAAGCCUGACGGAGCAACGCCGCGUGAGUGAUGGAGAUCUUCGGAGCGUAAAGCUCUGUUAUUAGGUAAGAACAUAUGUGUAAGUAACUGUGCACAGCUUGACGGUACCGAAUCAGAAAGCCACGGCUAACUACGUG